rnacentral:rRNA from 1 species
GGCGAAAGCGUCAGACUGGAACGCGCCUGACGCUGAGGGACGAAAGCCAGGGGAGCGAACCGGAUUAGAUACCCGGGUAGUCCUGGCCGUAAACGAUGCGCACUAGGUGAUGGUGCGGCUAUGAGCCGCAUCAGUGUCGUAGGGAAACCGUUAAGUGUGCCGCCUGGGAAGUACGGUCGCAAGGCUUAAACUUAAAGGAAUUGGCGGGGGAGCACCACAAGGGGUGAAGCCUGCGGUUCAAUUGGACUCAACGCCGGGCAACUUACCAGGGGAGACAGCAGAAUGAGGGUCAGGUUGACGACCUUACCUGACAAGCUGAGAGGAGGUGCAUGGCCGUCGCCAGUUCGUGCUGUGAGGUAUCCUGCUAAGUCAGGCAACGAACGAGACCCGCACCUUUAUUUGCCAUCAAGAAGUCACGACUUCGUUGGGAACGAUAAAGGGACCGCCGUCGAUAAGACGGAGGAGGGAGCGGGCAAAGGCAGGUCAGUAUGCCCCGAAACCCUCUGGGCCACACUGCGGGCUGCAAUGGUGCGAACAAUGGGCUGUGAUCUCCGAAAGGAGAAACCAAUCCCGAAAUCGCAUCUCAGUGGGGAUUGUCGACUGUAACCUCGUUGACAUGAAGCGUGGAAUCCCCUAGUAACUCGCGCCGUCACCAUCGCGCGGUGAAUACGUCUCU